AAGAGAAUUAACCUCAGCAUAUGCUAGGCAGUGCUCUCAUAAGCCAGGAUGGAUGGAAUGAAGUCAAGAAAUCAAACCACAGCAGUGCAUGGAAAUGCUAAGAAGCUGGCAAUUUCUGCUCUAGAGAGAGCAAAAGAGAAGGUUCUAUUCCUGUCUCCUUGUGUUUGGAGGCAGCCUCCCAAAUCAGAGGGGUCUUCAUCCACACAGUUCACAUCGACCAAACCUGGUGGUUAAUGGUAGUAGCAGGUUUUACUGAGGAGUAUCAAGGUGUGAAUAUCAAGGAAGGGCCCCAACCUCCCCAUCCCCACACCUAUUAGAUGGGAACUAAUAGAAAACAUUCUCUUUAAUCUGUAAGCAACAGAACCUCCAGAUGAUUACACGCUUUGGCCUUCUGAAGGAAAUGGGAUUCCGGAUCAGGGCACCUGGACCAAGUGAACGCUGCUAAUCGCUCCCCGCUCCGACCACAAACCGGGCAGAUCCCAAGAGUGCCGCGGGAGAGAGCCUGGUCCCUGGGCCACCAGCGUGAGCCGCCCCCAGGGAGCUCCCCGAGCCCCGACACGGGAAAUCCCAUCCCCACCCUGUUCCCCUCCUGCAGCGGCCUUUUCGGGGCCACGCAGCAGUCCCUUCCCGGCUCUUUGGGCCGCUGUCUCCCCGCCAUGGCAGAGCGCAACCGGCUACGCAGUGCCCGCAUCCUGGUCCCCACGCAGAUGUCCCUGUUCCCCUCUCCUAGAGAUUUCAAGGGAGGUGCAGAGGAGGACGCCUAAAUAAAAACAGGAAACUCGACUUCUAAAAAAAAAAAAAAAAGCAGCUUCAUUCAGGCUGAAUUACGGGUAAGAGUAUGAAAAAAGAAGAGAAAAAGAGUCCGGAAAUGCAAAGCUGGAGGCGGUUUUGCCGCCGUAACGCGGACCCGGCCGCAGAGCCGGGGGCAGAUGGCGCGGCUGCAGUAAGCAUGGGGCGAGCAGCGCCCGCGGCCCGGGUCCUGCAGGACAGGGCUCGCACGUGCGGGGGCCGGGAGGUGGCGCGGGGCGCCGGCGGACUUGGCGGUGGCCCCUCCAGCCCGGGUCCCCGAUCGCCAGAGCUGGGAGGGUGCGCGGCGGGAGGUAUGCGCGCCCCUCUCCCGCGCCUCGGUGGAAGCGCGGGGUCCGGCACCGCUGGUGGGAACGCAUCCCGCUCCCCUCCGCGCGGCCGGGCGCCUCGGGGCAGAGGGCCCGCAGCCAGGCGCUUCCCGGCUCCCCGCACCGCGACAGGGAGGGCAGCCCGGGCCCCGCCAGCUGUGCGCGCCCCUCUCUGAGGGCGCCCCGGGAGGGGCCUGGGGCGCAAACGCAGCCUCGGCUCAGGUCUCAGCAGUUAGCCCGGGGGGCGCCCCUUGCCGGGCUCGCUAGGCGCAGGAGGCACCGGGCCAGGGCGCACAGGCUGUGAGCGCUGGAACGUGCCCACGAGGCGGCCCCACGGUUCCCCGAGGCUCCCCAAAGUCCCUGUCCUGCCGGUCCUCUCCCCAGCUCUCCAGAUGCAGUCCGAGGAGAGCGCUUACCGGUCCCGGCGCGGCUGGCAGGGGCUGGGACGGCUCCGGCCGGCGGCCGGGCGGCCGCUGGAGCGAGGGAGCUGGGCUAGAGUGAGCCUCGAGGGAGGGAGGCGGGGCGCGGUGGGGGCGCCCCGCCUGCUGACAACCGGCACACUCCACUUUCCACUGUUUCCUUUUAACUUACAACAGGAAAAACAACAGGUCCUCCUGCCUCCCCGUCUGCCCCCCACUGUGCCCACCCCCUAAAUCCCCACCCGGUCUGCGGUUGGAGGGAGAUCACCCCAGGUGCCUCUGAAAGCUACACCUUGCCCUUCUUCAAAACAAGUGUUCUUUUUACCCUAAGGAAAACUACAGAAUAAAGGUCCUAGGAGCCCAUAACCCACCACCACCGCCAUCACGCCUUCCACAAACAACAACGGCCAGAGGAGAGCUGGAGGGCAUGCGAGAAACCGUAACUGCAGCUAGAGGCGCCCAGAAGCGCCCGCAGCACCAAAUGCAAGGAUGUCAUGGGAGAUGAGCCAAGUCAAUCCUUAAAUAUGCUUAAACAAUGACUUAAAGGACCCUCUGCAACUGGUCUGGGAGGUAAAGUACCUGUUUUGUUCGUUUGGACAGAUAAGGAAACUGAGGCUUGGAAAGGGGCUGUUUCUCCCAGAGAUGGCCUGGCCUCCCAGGGCCACCUUGGGCCCAGCAGCGGCUGCAGCAGUGAGAAGAGCAGACUGUUCCAUUUCUAGCCAGGAAAGGGGCAGAGAAUUCCGGCAAGGAGCAUGGGUUCCUACAUGGGCCCAGUUUUCUAAGAUCUAGGCUGCAGGCUUUGGACUCCCAACCGGACACCUGCGGAGGAACCAGGAGGUCCCAAGGGCCUGUCCCUGGGACUGUACCCUAACAUCCUUCCCAGCGGAAUGUCUGAGGCUCACAGCCUCACUCCCACCCCAGGCCCGGAUCAGUCCUCGGCGGAGGUCUCCAGAGCUCUCCAGGGAGAGACUGCCAAAAGCCGGAAGAGAAAUGGACAUUUCAGAGGGAAAAUCUGACGGGCAGGGAAGGACUCAAACCCUUGCCCUUUCGUCUUGGCCAUAGAAGUGUGGCGAAGGUUCUCGGUUAAGGGCGCCUUCGCUGGAGCCAGACAGGCCAGCACCGCCACUGUGGAGCUCUGUGACCUCAGGUGAUGCUGAAGUCAGGUGAUAAAAGAGUCUGAGGUCUACUGGACAAGGAAUAGCAGUAAGUUGGCCCAUGAAUCAAAAACUGGGAGGAAGAAUGUCACCUCAGCAUUGCAGAGUGCAGGCAAAACUAUCCAGACGAAGGUGUGGUACAUCAAACAAAUGGAAUAGUAUACAGCAUGGAAAACAUGCUGAAGGCCUGUAGCAUCAUGCUAACAAGGCUCCGUGCAGACUGCCUCUGUGCUGGGUCACUGCCACGUAAGUGUUACACAGGCACACGUGUGUAGCUGGAGAUGACUUCCAACAGUGAAAGCUGUGUGGGAGGGUGGUUACAGAUGUUUUUCUUGCCAUUUUUUUUUCUGUUCACAUUUUGCUAAAUGUGUCAUAAAAAUGUAAAAUUGUAUUUCCUUUUCCUGAGGUCAGAGCUAAUCCCUCUUACUGCUAUUCACACCAGUACAGAUGAGCAACUGUUCAUUCUGCCCUGGCUCCAGACGUGCUGCCCUGUGGCCAGCAGCUCAUGUGUCUCCCUCAUCUGUCAG